AGAGUUUGAUCCUGGCUCAGGACGAACGCUGGCGGCGUGCUUAACACAUGCAAGUCGAGCGGAAAGGCCACUUCGGUGGUACUCGAGCGGCGAACGGGUGAGUAACACGUGAGUAAUCUGCCCCUGGCUUUGGGAUAGCCACCGGAAACGGUGAUUAAUACCGGAUAUGACAACUUGUUGCAUGAUGGGUUGUGGAAAGUUUUUCGGCCAGGGAUGUGCUCGCGGCCUAUCAGCUUGAUGGUGAGGUAAUGGCUCACCAUGGCUUCGACGGGUAGCCGGCCUGAGAGGGUGACCGGCCACACUGGGACUGAGACACGGCCCAGACUCCUACGGGAGGCAGCAGUGGGGAAUAUUGGACAAUGGGCGGAAGCCUGAUCCAGCAACGCCGCGUGAGGGAUGACGGCCUUCGGGUUGUAAACCUCUUUCAGCAGGGACGAAGCGCAAGUGACGGUACCUGCAGAAGAAGCACCGGCCAACUACGUGCCAGCAGCCGCGGUA
rnacentral:rRNA from 1 species